GUGGCAGGUUAUAUAUAAGGGAGUACUCCCAACAGAAGGUUCAUCCAUAGUUAAAUUAAGAAACCUGAUCCUGGACUACAUAUAUUUAUGAAUUAAAUAUUGAUUCAGUACUCAAACAAUACAAGCAUGCGUUUCGCAGGUGAAAUGCUGGCAAAUUAGACGGCAGUCAAAGGCUCCUCAAGCUGCUGGGGCCAUCCAUACUGAUUUUGAGAGAGGAUUCAUUUGUGCUGAGGUAAUGAAAUUUGAAGAUCUGAAGGAACUUGGUAGUGAGUGGGCUGUAAAGGCAGCCGGAAAGUAUAGACAGGAGGGGAAAACUUAUGUGGUUCAAGAUGGAGACAUUAUAUUUUUCAAGUUCAAUGUUUCUGGGGGUGGGAAGAAGUGAAAUAUUCAUUUUCACUUGGUCAUUGAAUUACUUUUAACGAAUUUGACGUUUUGUCAUUAGAUUACUUGUGAGCUUUUAUCACCAAGAGGGGAUGAAAAGAAGUAUAAAACACUUGUAUUCCGUUUUGCAGAUUGUAGAAACAUAAGUUUGUUUAAAGUUA